UACGUCCCCAGACUGAGCCCAGGAGGGAAGAAAGGCUCCUAAGCCAGGGCAGAGUGGCCUGGGCCAGAGCCAGUACUCACAAGUCUCCCCUAGUCCUCCGACACGGGCUGCCUCCAGGUGACUCCCUAGACAAUUCUGGAAGCCCAGGGAAAGAAACUCCAUGUCUCUGCUCACCCACCUACUGGUCUGCAUCUUUGGCUCUGGCUCCUGGGUGGCCAUUAAUGGACUAUGGGUAGAGUUGCCUCUGCUUGUAUCACAAUUACCUGAGGGUUGGUACCUACCCUCCUACCUCACAAUCAUCAUCCAGCUAGCCAAUGUGGGGCCACUCUGCAUCACCCUGUUCCACCGAUUCCGGCCUGGCUGCAUCCCUGAGGUCCCGGUCAUCUUUGCUGUGUUGGUCCUGGGCACAACAGCCUGCCUCCUCUUCUCUUUCCUGUGGGAGAAGACUUCAGUGGUGGCAGGGGUUCCCCACAGCACAGCCUUCCUGGUCCUCACCUUCUUCCUGGCCCUGGUGGACUGUACCUCCUCUGUCACUUUCCUGCCCUUUAUGGCCCGCCUGCCAACCCAGUACCUCACUACCUUCUUUGUUGGGGAAGGGCUGAGUGGUCUCCUCCCUGCUCUGGUGGCUCUGGCUCAAGGCUCAGGGCUUAACACCUGUGCUCAGAUCACCAAUGACUCUAUAACCAACGAGCUGCCGAACAUCACUAAAGCAUCCUUCUUCCUUCGGGCACAGAACAUUACUCUGAACCCUCAGCCAGAGUCCUGUUACCUGCCAGCCAACUUCUCCCCUUUUGUGUUCUUUAUUCUGCUGUCAAUCAUGAUGGCCAGCUGCCUGGCUGCCUUCUUUGGCCUGACUCGACUCCCUAAGCAGUGGGAGCUCUCUACUGAGGACCUCCUGGUCAGCCAGGUGACUCUCAGAUCCUUCCAGCUCCAAGAAACCUCAACUGGCAGCAGCAACAGAGACAGCUGCACAUCAGUGGCCCUGCCUGAGGAGAAGAAGACCCCUGUUUGGCCACAGGCCCAAUUAGCCUUCAUCUAUACACUGGUGGUCUUUGUGAAUGCCCUCACCAAUGGAAUCCUCCCUUCUGUUCAGACUUACUCCUGCAUGUCCUAUGGUUCCAUGGCCUACCACCUGUCUGCAGCUCUUAGUGCUAUGGCCAACCCCUUAGCUGGCAUCCUGGCAAUGUGCCUGUCCAAUAGGUCUCUCCCGUGGCUGGGGGUCAUCACAGUGGUGGGCACCGGUUUUGCAGCCUACAACAUGGCUAUGGCUGUCCUGAGUCCCUGCCCUCUGCUGAAGGGCUCCCGCUGGGGAGAAGCCAUCAUCGUCAUCUCUUGGGUGCUUUUCACGGGGACCCUGAGCUACGUGAAGGUGAUGACUGGGGUGCACCUGCGCAACCUGAGCCACAGCGCCCUCGUGUGGUGCGGUGCAGCGGAACAGUUGGGCUCAGCGUUUGGGGCGCUACUCAUGUUUCCUCUAGUCAACGUGAUUCACCUUUUUAAGUCUGCUGAUGGAAACAGCCAGCUGUGUCCCAGCUGAGCAUGCCCAGGACAACUUUUCUAGACUGAAUUUUACUUGGCCAGAGCUAAAGCCGUGGCGACACAACCAUGACCUCAUCUCGAGUUUCCCUCAGACGCUGGCACAGACACUCUCACCUCUCCUUUUCCUCCCCCCUACCCCAAGCAGUGUUAAAGCCCCCAGAACCUGAGCCAUCCGGGAGACUCUGUGAGUCACUUCAGUCAGGACCUUGGUCAGAAAUGGAGGAUCCCCAAAAGGAGAAAUAGCAGUCAAGAGCACCCAGUGGUCGAGCUGAGCUUCAAACACAGGGCCUGGGACCUUAAAUCCAGCCCGCUUUCCAGGCGCCAUAUGGCCUACACACAGAUUAUAGGAAGGAGCUUGGAUGUUCCAGAAAUGGUGAGAUGGGACAACUGAGGCUGAAGUAGACAGUGUAUAUGUGUAUCUGGGAGCCCCGGGAGUUGCCAGCAAUAACAACUAGUCACCAGUCAUUAAAGAUGGGCAACUUAUAAAGCA